rnacentral:piRNA from 1 species
GGUGAGAAAACUGACUGUUAACC